rnacentral:miRNA from 1 species
UGCUAAACCGUAAAUGCUCCUA